rnacentral:lncRNA from 1 species
GUACCUGUUCUGAACAAGUUUUGUUCACAAGUUUCUGAAGCGGGAGUAAUCGACAAAAGCAAAGUUGCUCGAACAGUCACUGUGAUCUAUAAACAGUGUGUUGCUUGUCGGGUUUGUGCUGUUCCAAGUUUGCUGAUGCUUGUAAGCUGCAUAUAGAGGUAAAUCACCUUUAGUAAAAUAUGCGUGUAUACCUCGGAAGACGCAUGCUCAGGGCAAAAGUUUUUCAGUAUUGCAUGUUAUUGCCCCACUUCUCCCUCCCCCCUUCCGGUGUUGUGAUUUCGCAAGUUUUGAUGUGCACAAAUUGGUGAGUAUGGCAUACUAUGAUGUUGAGUACCAUUAAGCCGGGAGUCUGGUGGACUCAACUGAGACCUGGUGCUUGUCAAACAUGUUUGAGGCCAGGGAUUGACCACAAGAAAACUGUUUGUAUGGGUG